AAUACGCCUGAUGAGUGACUUAGACUAGGCACCGUGUUAAAUGUUUGACAGUCAUUUCUAAUCCUCAUGUCAACCUCAAGAGGGAGGUACUAUUAUUAUCCACGUUGCAUAGAUGAGAGAAGUGAAAGGUUAGGUAACCUGCCCCAGCUCCCAUCACCAUCAUGGCUCGCUUGCUCUGAGGCUGUCCUGUCCCAGCCAGGCCUGUCUCACUUUGAAGAAAGAAGAAGGUAACAUACCUGUGUUUCACGACAAGCAGGUGACACAGCUGCAUCUCAAGGCCAGCUGCAAGGCACCAGGGGACACCGAAGAGAGAGGAUCUGGAUAAAAGGCGCUUCUGUUGACUCUUAGUCACAAGAUGCAACAGACUGAGCCACACAGCGGGGCACUGUUGUCAGUGGCCCAGAGUUUAGCCACUGGAAGGGUGGGAAGGGAGAAAUGGGCACGCAGUUCUUCGAGCAUCACCUGGAGCCUCUGGGCAGUUAUUUAAGAACUACCAGUGGACCAGGACCAAGAAGACUGGAAGACAAAAGAGGAGGCCUUUACAACAGCUAUAAUGAAGUAAAUAAACUGAUUUGGGCAAAUGGC